rnacentral:rRNA from 1 species
AAAUUGAAGAGUUUGAUCAUGGCUCAGAUUGAACGCUGGCGGCAGGCCUAACACAUGCAAGUCGAACGGUAACAGGAAGCAGCUUGCUGCUUUGCUGACGAGUGGCGGACGGGUGAGUAAUGUCUGGGAAACUGCCUGAUGGAGGGGGAUAACUACUGGAAACGGUAGCUAAUACCGCAUAACGUCGCAAGACCAAAGAGGGGGACCUUCGGGCCUCUUGCCAUCGGAUGUGCCCAGAUGGGAUUAGCUAGUAGGUGGGGUAACGGCUCACCUAGGCGACGAUCCCUAGCUGGUCUGAGAGGAUGACCAGCCACACUGGAACUGAGACACGGUCCAGA